rnacentral:rRNA from 1 species
CAUGUGCACGCCUAACACCAGUCUUUUUUCACCCUUUACCCCCUGUGCACUUUUUGUAGGCCUGGAUCGAGGAACCUUGGUUUCNGUUCUAGCCUAUGUCACUUUGUAUUCACUCCGUAUGUCUAGAAUGUUGUUGUUAUUUGAUGCGAUUCAUCAUCGCUCUGGACAUCUUAAUACAACUUUCAACAAUGGAUCUCUUGGCUCUCGCAUCGAUGAAGAACGCAGCGAAAUGCGAUAAGUAAUGUGAAUUGCAGAAUUCAGUGAAUCAUCGAAUCUUUGAACGCACCUUGCGCUCCUUGGUAUUCCGAGGAGCAUGCCUGUUUGAGUGUCAUUGAAGUUCUCAACCUCUUCAGCUUUUGUUGAUCAGGCUUGGACCUUGNNAGCUGUGCCGGCUUUUCGAAGUCUGCUCUCCUCAAAUGUAUCGGCUGGCCUCUUGUUGUCCUACUGCCGUUGGUGUGAUAAUUAUCUACGCCAUUGUGUACAACCAGGGUGUGAUAGCUUCUAAUCGGUUUCGUAUGAGACUGUGACUGUGGUGUUGACCUCAAAUCAGGUGGGACUACCCGCUGAACUUAAGCAUAUCAAUA